GGCCCUCUGGGAAGUGUAGUUCACGUGCCCGCCACGGCUCUGGGGGUGUGGGAGCGAGGCUCCAUGUGCGCAGGCGCACUUCUGGCUCUACCCCGCCGCUGCGGCCAUUGUCCAGCCCAGUUGCGGCGGAGGCCGCUUUGGGCAGCUAACCCUUCUGCAGAAAAGACCUGGAGAGAAUAGAGCCUGCGGCGGUGGUCGAGGGCCGAUCUGAGGCCCUGGGUAGGCCUGAGGUCACAAGUCCUGAGCCCCCUGGAGGCGCUGAUUCGGAGUGCGCGGCCGCUGUCCGGGAGCCCGCCCCGCAGAGGCAGAAAUGGCCCCCAGGCCUCCGAUGGCCGCGCCCCAGGAAUCAGUGACAUUCAAAGAUGUGGCUGUGGACUUCACCCGUGAAGAAUGGCAUCAUGUGGACCCUGCUCAGAGGAACUUAUAUAGGGAUGUGAUGCUGGAGAACUACAGCCACCUGGUUUCUCUUGAGUUCCUGAGGAUCAAGGACUAGUACUGAUUAUAGGAAGGUUCUUUGUCCUUGCACAAACACCCAAAUCUUGUGUAUUUACCCAUGAGCAGGGUAUCAAGUUUCCAAGCCAGAAGUGAUCUUCAAAUUGGAGCAAGGAGAAGAGCCAUGGAUAUCAGAGGGAGAAAUCCAAAGGCCUUUCUGUUCAGACUGGAAGACCAGGCCUGAAGCCAAAUCAUCAAAUCUGCAGCAGGGUAUAUCUGAAGUAUUCCACAGCACAGAUGAUUUCUCACAUGCCACAAUAGAAGACCCCUGGGUUAUUAGUAGCCAGUUAGAGGGGCAUCAGGAAAACUGGAGGAGACAUCCAGGGCCAGAAGCAUCUACCCAGAAGAAAAUCCCACCAGAGGGAAGUUUUGCACAAAAUAAAUCUGGUGAAGACUCUAGAUUGAACACAGACCCGCUUCCACAACUGAACAGUUCUUCAAGCAUAAGGCCUAKUGAAUGUGAAACACUUGGAAACAAUCUGGGACAUAAUGGAGAUUUGCUUAAUCAGAACAGUGUCCUUGCAAAAAAGAAACCCUAUAAAUGUAAUAAAUGUAGAAAAGCCUUUAUUCACAGAUCAUCACUUACUAAACAUGAGAAAACUCAUAAAGGAGAAGAUAAUUUCCCCAAURGUACAGGUCAGGGAAUUUAUCCUGGAAAGAAACACCAUGAAUGUACUGACUGUGGGAAAACUUUCCUCUGGAAGACACAGCUUAUUGAGCAUCAUAGAAUUCACACUGGGGAAAAACCCUUUGAGUGCAAUGUGUGUGGAAAGGCCUUCAGGCAUAGUUCAUCCCUAGGUCAACAUGAGAAUGCUCAUACUGGAGAGAAACCCUAUCAGUGUAGUCUCUGUGGGAAGGCCUUCCAGCGCAGUUCCUCCCUUGUUCAACACCAGAGAAUUCACACUGGAGAAAAGCCUUAUCGCUGUAAUCUCUGUGGGAGGUCCUUUAGGCAUGGUACAUCCCUCACUCAACAUGAGGUCACUCAUAGUGGGGAGAAACCUUUCCAGUGUAAGGAAUGUGGGAAAGCCUUUAGUCGAUGUUCUUCCCUUGUCCAGCAUGAGAGGACUCAUACUGGAGAGAAACCUUUUGAAUGUAGUAUAUGUGGGAGGGCUUUUGGUCAGAGCCCAUCCCUUUAUAAGCAUAUGAGGAUUCAUAAGAGAGGCAAACCUUACCAAAGCAAUAACUAUAGUGUAGAUUUCAAGCACAAUUUAUCUCUUACUCAAGAUGAAAAUCUACUGGCUGAAGUGAAAUCCUACCAUUGUAAUGACUGUGGAGAAGACUUCAGUCACAUUACAGACUUUACUGACCAUCAGAGGAUCCAUACUGCUGAGAAUCCCUAUGAUUGUGAGCAGGCCUUUAGUCAACAAUCUGUUUCCCAUCCUGGAGAGAAACCUUAUCAGUGUAAUGUGUGUGGGAAAGCUUUUAAAAGAAGUACAAGUUUCAUAGAGCAUCACAGAAUUCAUACUGGAGAGAAGCCUUAUGAAUGUAAUGAAUGUGGAGAAGCCUUCAGUCGACGCUCAUCACUUACCCAACAUGAGAGAACCCACACUGGAGAGAAACCCUAUGAAUGUAUUGACUGUGGAAAAGCCUUCAGUCAGAGUUCAUCUCUUAUUCAGCAYGAGAGAACUCAUACUGGAGAGAAACCAUAUGAAUGUAAUGAAUGUGGGCGGGCCUUCCGAAAGAAAACCAAUCUGCAUGAUCAUCAGAGAAUUCAUACUGGAGAAAAACCAUAUGCUUGUAAGGAAUGUGGGAAAAACUUCAGUCGAAGCUCAGCUCUUACAAAGCACCAGAGAAUUCAUACACGAAAUAAACUGUAGGAACCCUAUACUUAGGAAUAUAUAGAAAGCUUUAGCUAAAAUACUGUUCCAAUUCAGUAUUCAAGGAUUUUUAUUGGAGAGAAAGUUCAAGAAUGUAAUUUUUUUUUUUUGUGUGUGUGUGUGUGUGUGUGUGUGUUUGUAUGUUGUGUGUGGAGAAAAUUUAGCACUAGACAGAAUUUUAUACAAUAAAUUAAAAGCUACAUUCUCAUAUGUGAUUAGAGGUGUUUGUAAAAAUUACAAACAACAUAUAUAGCCAUUUGGAAAUUAUAUUCCUACACAUUGGACUUUAUAAAGCUUUUAAUAUGAGUAUUCAGAUCACCAACUUUGACAGCUUGACAUGUA